rnacentral:sRNA from 1 species
ACUGUUCGCAGCUACAAAGGGUCACAGAAACAGACUGGUUGGUCAGGAGUAGAAAUAAUUUUCUAGGCUCUUUCAUCAUCUUUCCUGAGUUUCUGAGGGACCUUCAGUGACGAGGAAGCUCCCCUCCAGUACCUACUUGCACCUGGAAUCCAAGCAUUCAUCCUGAAGGUCACGGCAACUGUGUAGUUCACUGAGGGUGACUGCCAAGGAAUGAGCGCUAGCAUCAGGAACCUGCGUCUGCAACUCGCGGCAACAAUGUGCAAGUGUGGAAAGCUCCCGUAGUUUAUUCUUUCGGUGCUCAAAGGGUCUCGGUGCUGCCCAGCAACCCUGGAGACUGCACCCUGCUCCAGUCCCGGCUGGUCCAGCCCUGAACUGUUUAACCGCCUCGGCUACCGAAUAAGCCCGAGCAGCCGGUCCUCCAGUGGCUCCGCUCCCCGUUCUCUGUGGGCUCAAAAUGACAGAGGCUCACAGGACACCUGCAUGCCCAAGGCACUCCACCGUAUGUGAUCAACCUGGAUCCAGCAGUACAU